rnacentral:rRNA from 1 species
CCCUUAAAUGUUCUGGGCCGCACGCGCGCUACACUGAUGCAUUCAACAAGCCUAGCCUUGACCGAGAGGUCCGGGUAAUCUUUGAAACUGCAUCGUGAUGGGGCUAGAUUAUUGCAAUUAUUAAUCUUCAACGAGGAAUGCCUAGUAAGCGUGUUUCAUCAAAUCGCGUUGAUUACGUCCCUGCCCUUUGUACACACCGCCCGUCGCUCCUACCGAUUGAAUGUGUUGGUGAGGAGCUCGGAUUGGCAGCAGUUGGUGGUUCGCCACCGGCUAUUGCUGAGAAGUCCUCCAAACCGCCCCAUUUAGAGGAAGGAGAANUCGUANCA